rnacentral:lncRNA from 1 species
UCAUGACCUUUUUCCUCAACGUGUUAUAUAGGUAUUUGCGUAUGUAUAAUUUUUUUAAACUCUUUUUAUGAUGUAGAAAUAUGUUUUUUUUUAAAUCCUCCCUGUAGCCCGGCGUCCAUUUGCACUUUUCGCCACAACAUACGACUAUAUAUACUGGUGUUGGUGUUUGAAGCCGGGGCGGCGACAGCAACUUCUCCUCUUUGCUGUCGGCCACAAAUCCGACUCCAGAUCUCAUUUCCACGGGGAAAGAAGAGGCCCCGGCUUUAUAAGCUCUAGAAGGCGCCGGUUCCUCCUCCCCCAAUCCCAAUUCAGGAGCUAGGGUUAGUCUACUGUCUGUCCCCCAAUCUCGCGGCGUGGUGAGUUGGGGCGAGGCGCGGGAGAUCAGAUCAGAUCAAGCAACCAAUGGCCGGCGAGGAGGGUUCGAGCAUCACCGGAAGCAUGGCGGCCAAGGAUGCGUUGGCCGCCGGCGAGGAGAAGCGCCAGCUGAAGCCGUGCACCACCGAAAGGAAAAGGAAGGAAGAGACAGAGGACGAGGAGCUGCGCGCCGCCAAAAGGAAAGCUUUUUACGCCAAGUCAGGUCCAAGCAAAAAAAUGACGCGGCUGCCGCGGGAGGAGGUGGCUUCAAUCCUUUCCAGUCGGAUCCAUCCAGAUUGUGCCCCUUCUUUCUUCACGCCUCGUUUCCCUUCUUUCUUCACGCAGGGGGAUUGAAGAAGUUUUGAGAGGAAGGGAUUUCAGGGAUUGGGUGAAUUCCUUUGUUUCAUCUAAUCCUCUCAAAUUCCGGGGCUUUACUGUCACUAGUAUCCCGACGAGGGUUUUGAAACACAUGGAUAGGAAGGGAUUGAAGUGGAAUGGAGGGGAUUGGGCUAAGCAAACCCCUCCUACCAAAUGUACGUCCGAGGAUCUGUGGGGAUUUUCCUCGUCCCCAGGGUAUUUUUCUCUCAAAACCUCCACAAUCCCCCUUAACCAAACGAGGCCUCAAGGCUUUGAAGCUCCAAAAUCCUGACCUGAUUCCUUCUCCGGAAGAGGAGAUGGACAAGCUGAAGGUAAAGCGUUAUGCUAAUGCGCGCGGGUACUACGAGGCUGUAGAGGAAUUCGUCAAAUUUCAGGCCUGGGUACGAAGUGAGUACGCCAAGAAUGGCUACGUCGAGGUCGAUGAGGACUACCUCGCUCACAGGUCCCAGGUCCAAGCAUGUAGCGACAGAGCAAGGGAUGCUGCAUUCAGAGCAAUCGGCUUUUCUGAUGAAGCCCAAGAGCUCAAGAGUCUGUUUAGGAGGAGACAGUGAACCCGUGUAUUCACAAUCACAAGUUUUUAGUCUAGACACGUGUCAAUGUUGUGAUCCAUGUCAAACUGUGAUAAGCUAAGCACCGAUGAAGGCUUUGUGUAAUCCAUUCACUGUGUUAUAGGAGUAUCCAUUNCAUGUAUAGCUACAUACAAUUAGGGGAAAAUGUAUCUAAAACUAAGCUUCAAAAAUUGUCUAAUGUUAUCGCAGCUGCGUUGGAAGUUCAGCUCCGUAAAAAUAGAUGGAGGGAGUAUAAUGUACGUUGGUUGAUAGUGAAUUUGAUGCGCUUUGAUUUAUUCAUGUAUGAUGUGAUGAAGUGUCAUAUAGAAAGCAUAUCAAAGGUUUGAAUGGUUGUUAAUAGGGGACUGCUAGGCAUUCAUCGGUGGAUUUGUAGUAACCAUCCACCAUCCUUUUAGCCGUCCGAUGCAUACGCGUGCAUCGUCCGAUCACCAGCUCGGUCACCUUCGUCCACCACACAAAAUCCCGAAACAACGCUCCAGUUGCGGAAACAAGCACGCUGCUACGUCGUCCGACUGACGGGUUAAAAAUGACUAACGGGUCUUUUACAAUAUAGAUUAUGUUGUAAAAAAAAUUUCAACAAAAGACCAUGUUGCGAAAACGUCCGUAUAUAUUUUUUGCUAUAGAAAUUGUUAUUGAAUAUUUUCUGCAACAAGUAUCGUGUUGCAGAAAUUUUUGCAACAAAGGUCAUGUCGCAAAAAACUUUUGCAACGUAGGUCAGGCUGUAGAAAACUUUUGCAACAAAAAAUAUUUAUUCCAAUUUUUUAAAACAGAGACCAAGUUGCAGAAACUCGUCAUUACGCCUACUUGCACUACACGAUCGUAGAAAUCGACCGGUUCAUCAAAAGAGUUUUCCUUGUUAUAUAACAUUUUCCACAGCAAAGAUCGUGUUGCGGAAACAUAUGUAGAAUUCUUUCUCUACAACAAAAAUCUUGUUGCAUAAAUAUUUUGCAACCAAGUGUUUGUUGUAAAAAAAAAUCUGCAACACUAGGAUGCAAGCUAGGUGAGCGUACAUAAGACAAGCGUUGCGCGAGCGAGAGGCGUCUGCCCUCAAGGGAUUUAGAUUCAGAUCGUGUAACAUAGGACGUGUUGCGGUACGCAAUCUGCAACAAACGUGAAGUUGCAAAAUUGCAAACUACAUAAGUCUAAAUAAAACACGCGUCGCACGAUCCGCCGGCUGGAGCACAACGUUUCCCUUGUUAAUAGAUCCUUGGUGUACACCUUCCUGCUACAAUCAGGUGGUACCGUUCCAAUAUUAAUGUGCCAUGCUGAUCAAUGUUUUGAUGGAUACCUCCUUGUGGCUGAAUGACACUGUUCAGAUGAUGUGUAUCGUAAACAUGUUUAUGAACGAUUUGAUAGACAAGUUAAUUAUCUUUCCCGGUGCAACACAUGAAUAUGUUAGCUGGUUAUAUUUUUAUGUAACUGUUUUAAAAUAUUUUAGAAGAUAGUCUCCAUAACAUAGGACUAUAUAUACUGGUGUUGGUGUUCGAAGCCGGGGCGGCCACAGCAACCUCUCCUCUUAGAAAAAAUGUAUCCAAAACCGAGCUUUAAAAUUUGUCCAAUGUUAUGGUAGCUGCGUUGGAAGUUCAGCUCCGUAAAAAUAGAUGGGGGAGUACAACGUACGUCGAUUAUGAAUUUGAUGCGCUUUGAUUUAUUCAUGUAUGGUGUGAUCAGAAGUGUCAUAUAGAAGACAUAUCAAAGGUUUGAAUGGUUCUUAACGUGUCCUCGGUGUACGCCUUGUUGCUACAAUCACAUGGCACCGUUCCAAUGUUAACGUGCUAUGCUGAUGUGCGUUUUGAUGAACACCUCCUUGUGGUUGUAUGACACUGUUGAGAUGAUGUAUAUCAUGCUCAUGAACGAUUUAGUAGACAAGUUAAUUAUCAUUUCAUGUGUAACCCACAGAUAUGUUUGCUAGUUAUGUUUAUGUAACUGUAGUAAAAUAUUUUAAAAGCUAGUCUCAACAACAACGAGUGUGAAGUUUUGGUGGAUGGGGGCAUUGGAGGACUUUAUUUCAAAAGAUUAAAAAAUGAUAUUUCUAUAUUUAAAAAAAAUCUAAAAAUAAAUAUGUGAAAACCUAUACAUAUUUGCAGUGGAUCUGUAAAAUUUCGUUUAAAAAAAAUCUGUUUGCAAGCUGCACAAAAAUAACAAAAAUCCGGCCUAAGAACAACAAAAAAGGGUCCAUUUUCGUUUGUGUUUUUUUUAUGUAUACAUCACGUAUGAAAGUAUAUUGUCAUGACCUUUUUCCUCAACGUGUUAUAUAGGUAUUUGCGUAUGUAUAAUUUUUUUAAACUCUUUUUAUGAUGUAGAAAUAUGUUUUUUUUUAAAUCCUCCCUGUAGCCCGGCGUCCAUUUGCACUUUUCGCCACAACAUACGACUAUAUAUACUGGUGUUGGUGUUUGAAGCCGGGGCGGCGACAGCAACUUCUCCUCUUUGCUGUCGGCCACAAAUCCGACUCCAGAUCUCAUUUCCACGGGGAAAGAAGAGGCCCCGGCUUUAUAAGCUCUAGAAGGCGCCGGUUCCUCCUCCCCCAAUCCCAAUUCAGGAGCUAGGGUUAGUCUACUGUCUGUCCCCCAAUCUCGCGGCGUGGUGAGUUGGGGCGAGGCGCGGGAGAUCAGAUCAGAUCAAGCAACCAAUGGCCGGCGAGGAGGGUUCGAGCAUCACCGGAAGCAUGGCGGCCAAGGAUGCGUUGGCCGCCGGCGAGGAGAAGCGCCAGCUGAAGCCGUGCACCACCGAAAGGAAAAGGAAGGAAGAGACAGAGGACGAGGAGCUGCGCGCCGCCAAAAGGAAAGCUUUUUACGCCAAGUCAGGUCCAAGCAAAAAAAUGACGCGGCUGCCGCGGGAGGAGGUGGCUUCAAUCCUUUCCAGUCGGAUCCAUCCAGAUUGUGCCCCUUCUUUCUUCACGCCUCGUUUCCCUUCUUUCUUCACGCAGGGGGAUUGAAGAAGUUUUGAGAGGAAGGGAUUUCAGGGAUUGGGUGAAUUCCUUUGUUUCAUCUAAUCCUCUCAAAUUCCGGGGCUUUACUGUCACUAGUAUCCCGACGAGGGUUUUGAAACACAUGGAUAGGAAGGGAUUGAAGUGGAAUGGAGGGGAUUGGGCUAAGCAAACCCCUCCUACCAAAUGUACGUCCGAGGAUCUGUGGGGAUUUUCCUCGUCCCCAGGGUAUUUUUCUCUCAAAACCUCCACAAUCCCCCUUAACCAAACGAGGCCUCAAGGCUUUGAAGCUCCAAAAUCCUGACCUGAUUCCUUCUCCGGAAGAGGAGAUGGACAAGCUGAAGGUAAAGCGUUAUGCUAAUGCGCGCGGGUACUACGAGGCUGUAGAGGAAUUCGUCAAAUUUCAGGCCUGGGUACGAAGUGAGUACGCCAAGAAUGGCUACGUCGAGGUCGAUGAGGACUACCUCGCUCACAGGUCCCAGGUCCAAGCAUGUAGCGACAGAGCAAGGGAUGCUGCAUUCAGAGCAAUCGGCUUUUCUGAUGAAGCCCAAGAGCUCAAGAGUCUGUUUAGGAGGAGACAGUGAACCCGUGUAUUCACAAUCACAAGUUUUUAGUCUAGACACGUGUCAAUGUUGUGAUCCAUGUCAAACUGUGAUAAGCUAAGCACCGAUGAAGGCUUUGUGUAAUCCAUUCACUGUGUUAUAGGAGUAUCCAUUCACUCUUCUUACAUUGCAGAAACGUGUGUUUGCCUGCAGCUGCCAAGAUUCAGCAGUCGUUUAGUUAUAUUUCCGAGUUGUCACCCCAUGUUAGACCGUGUAGUUUUAGUGGCUUUGCCAGUUACCUCUGAC